rnacentral:rRNA from 1 species
AAAAAUACAGUGAAUGUACUUAAUGGAAGCCUUGGUGUUAGAUAUUUAAACGUUUAAAAUCGAGAUAGUGUAAGGAGUGAAAACUACUUUGUUAAAUAAUCAGUGAUUUACACUUUUUUAAAAGUUAACUUAGAUUUAUAAAAUCUAUUUAUUACCUAGUGAACUGAAACAUCUAAGUAACUAGAGGAAAAGAAUUCAAUAGAGAUUUUAUUAGUAGUGGUGAGCGAAAGUGAAAAAGCCCAUAAAAUGUGUAGAUAAUUUUUAUAUAAAUGGUUAACAACAUGUGAUACAAGGUAGAGCCCUGUAAAUAAAGUUAUAUCUAUAUAAUGUUAAAUUGAGUAAUGCGAAAUACGUGUAAUUUUGUAUGAAUAGAAGGGGACCACCCUUUAAGGCUAAAUAUUGUCUAAUAACCAAUAGUGAAUGAAAGUACUGUGAAGGAAAGGUUGAAAAGAACUCUGAAGAGUUAUGAAACAUUGAAAUUAAGUAUAUAUACAACAGUUAGAGCGUAUUAUUUAAUUAUUGCGUGAUAGCGUACCUUUUGCAUAAUGGGCCAGCGAGUUAUUUUAUUUGGCGAGUUUAAUUUUUUAUAGUAGACGUAGCGAAAGCAAGUUUUAAGAGAGCGUUAGUUAAUUAAAAUAGACCCGAAACUAAGUGAGCUAACUUUGAGCAGGUUGAAGGUAUUUUAAUCAAUAUUGGAGGACCGAACCCGUGUAUGUGAAAAGAUACUGGGAUGACUUGGAGUUAGGAGUGAAAGGCUUAUCAAACUUAGAGAUAGCUGGUUUUUUACGAUAUCUAUUUAAGUAGAGUGUUGCUAGAUGUAUUUAUAGGGUAAAGUUACCUGUAAAAGAAUGGGGACUAUUGUCUUACUGAAUUUUAUAAAACUCAGAAUAUGUAAAUAUUAUAGUAGCAAACAGACUGCUAAUGAUAAAGUUGGUAGUCGUGAGGGAAAGAGCCCAGAUCAUAAGCUAAGGUCCUUAAAAUAUUUUUAAGUGAGAAAGAAGGAAAUAAUUUACCAUUAGGAAGUGGGUUUGGAAGCGGCCAUCUUUUAAAGAAAGCGUAAUAGCUCACUAAUGAAGUUAUAUUUUUUUUAAAAUGUAGUGGGACUAAAAAAAUAUACCGACGCUGUGAAUAAUUAUAUAUAUUUUAUAUAAUUUUGGUAGUAAAACGUUUUGUAAGUUAAUAAAGUAUUUUUGUAAAAAAAUAUGAAGAUAUCAAAAGUGAGAAUGCUGGCAUGAGUAACGUUAAAUAAUCAGAAAAAGAUUAUCGCCGUAAGCUUAAGGUUUUCUAUUAUUGGAUAAUCCGAAUAGAGUUAGUCGGCCCCUUAGAUUACUUUAAUAUGAAAAUUUAUUUUAUUGAAGGGUAAAAGAAAUAAUAUUUCUUUAUUUAGGGUAUAGUGACAAAUUUUUUUUUUAUUUUAUUUUUAGUUUUAAGCUUUAUAAAUAUAGGUAAAAAAAAAUUUCGUGAAAAAGCUUCCCUUUUAAAACCGUACUAAAACCGACACAGGUAAGCAGGUAGAGUAUACUAAGGCGCUUGAGAUAACAAUAUUGAAGGAACUCGGCAAAUUGCAUCCGUAACUUCGGGAGAAGGAUGACCAACUAUAAAUUAUAUAUUUAUAUGUUGGUGGCACAGAAUUGGGGGUAGCGACUGGUUAUUAAAACCAUAGGAUUCUGCUAAGUAGUAAUAUUAUGUAUAGGAUCUGACGCCUGCCCAGUGUUGUAAGGUGAACUUGGAUUGUUAUUUUUAGCAUGAAGAUUAAGCCCACAGUAAACGGCAGCCGUAACUAUAACGGUUCAAAGGUAGCGAAAUUCUUUGUCAAUUAAUUGUUGACCUGCAUGAAUGGCGUAACGACUUCCCUACUGUCUCCAGUAUUGACUCAGUGAAAUUGAAUUCUCCGUGCAGAUGCGGAGUACUAAUAGCUAGACGGAAAGACCCUAUAGACCUUUACUGCAUUUAUGUAUUGUCAUAUAAGGUGCAAUGUGUAGGAUAAACAGUAACUUAUGAUACUUCAAUUUUGGUUGAAUGUGGAGGUGUCCUUGAAAUAUUGUUCUUUGUUAUCUUUAUGACUAAUUAGUUUUAACAGUGCAUAAUUGGUAGUUUUGCUGGGGCGGCAGGCUUUUAAAGAGUAACAAAGCUGUACAAAGGUAAGCUCAAAAUAAUUUAUGUUAUUUGUAGCGUUUAAUGGCAUAAGCUUGCUUGACUGUAAAAUUGAUAAAUUCAGCAGGGACGCAAGUCGGUCAUAUAGAUCCGAUGAUACCAGGUGGAUGGGUCAUCGCUUAACGGAUAAAAGGUACCUUAGGGAUAACAGGCUAAUAACUCUUGAGAGACCAUAUCGACGGAGUUGUUUGGCACCUCGAUGUUGACUCAUCACAUCCUGGAGCUGAAGUAGGUUCCAAGGGUUCGGUUGUUCGCCGAUUAAAGUGGUACGUGAGUUGAGUUUAGAACGUCGUGAGACAGUUUGGCCCCUAUCUACUAUUAGUGUUAAAAAAUUGAAAAGUGUUUUUUCUUGUACGAGAGGACCGAAAAGACAGUACCUAUGGUUUUCUGGUUAUUUUGGCUAUAAGUAGGCCAGUCAGCUACGUACAUAAACAUAACCACAGACGGCAUCUACGUGGGAAGGUUACUUUAAAAUAAAUUUUUAAAUUGGUAAUAGAGAAUUACUUUGAUAGGUCACAUGUAAAAGUAUAGUGAUAUAUUGAGCAGAUCGGAAGAGCGUCGUGUAGGGAAAGAGUGU